rnacentral:rRNA from 1 species
AUUGAACGCUGGCGGCAGGCCUAACACAUGCAAGUCGAGCGGCAGCGGGUCCUUCGGGAUGCCGGCGAGCGGCGGACGGGUGAGUAACGCCUAGGAAUCUGCCUGGUAGUGGGGGAUAACGUUCGGAAACGGACGCUAAUACCGCAUACGUCCUACGGGAGAAAGUGGGGGAUCUUCGGACCUCACGCUAUCAGAUGAGCCUAGGUCGGAUUAGCUAGUUGGUGGGGUAAAGGCUCACCAAGGCGACGAUCCGUAACUGGGCUGAGAGGAUGAGCAGUCACAAUGAAAAUGAGACACGGUCCAGCCGCCUACGGGAGGCAGCAGUGGGGAAUAUUGGACAAUGAGCGAAAGCCUGAUCCAGCCAUGCCGCGUGUGUGAAGAAGGUCUUCGGAUUGUAAAGCACUUUCAGUAGGGAGGAAGGGUGUUGUGUUAAUAGCACAGCAUUUUGACGUUACCUACAGAAGAAGCACCGGCUAACUCUGUGCCAGCCGCCGCGGUAAAAC